GCCCCCGUAGCUCAGCGGACAGAGCAGGAGCCUUCUAAGCUCUUGGUCGGGGGUUCGAAUCCUCCCGGGGGCG
rnacentral:tRNA from 1 species